UACGGAGGGGGCUAGCGUUGUUCGGAAUUACUGGGCGUAAAGGGCACGUAGGCUGGCUUUUAAGUCGGGGGUGAAAUCCCCAGGCUCAACCCGGGAAUUGCCUUCGAUACUGGCGGUCUCGAGUGCGGGAGAGGUGAGUGGAAUUCCCAGUGUAGAGGUGAAAUUCGUAGAUAUUGGGAAGAACACCAGUGGCGAAGGCGGCUAACUGGCCCGCAACUGACGCUGAGGUGCGAAAGCGUGGGGAGCAAACAGG
rnacentral:misc_RNA from 1 species